CUUCCUCAUGUGAUGUAGGUCUGCGGCACUGUGGAGCAAUCGCAUUUGAGACUCGGCACUCGUGGACAGACGGGCGUUCAGGGACUGGGGAGUUUUUGGAGGGGGGUGGGGAGGCCAAUAAACCAAGAAAACGUCAGAAAUAAAAGUCGCAUCAGCCAGACUGUCUUCUUCACCGCUCCCGGGCUGCACCACUGUGGGCACAUCAAGCUUCGUCUGGCUCACCUGCAUGGUUCCGGCUGAUUCCUGCCUGAGAUGGCCCAUCGUACAACUAGGAUCCCAGAAUCUCCUGUCUGCACUCUGCGGAAGAAGGACCUAUUUCAGUCUCUGGCCAGGGUCUCUCACAGCCGAUGGGGUCUUGGAAGACAGGGUGAAGUUGCAGAAGACUGGGGUGGGAUGCGAAGGCAUGCGAAGGACUUGGAAAGGGAAUUUAGGAAUACUAUACAUCAGUGCCCACCGAUGAUAUGCAUACAGGGCGAGGGCAGCCACCGCCCCUGCCUCACGCACCUAACCCCGGCUGCUCGCUGGGAUUGUCUGAGGGGGACAACCCAGGUCUGGAUGUGGUGGCAUUUUUUCAGAGAGUGGAACUGAAGAUGGAUGAAGCAGCCCAUUCAAAUGAGGAAGAGCAAACAGUUUUGUACCAGUGUGACUUCUCUUGACCUGUUCUCCACCGCAGAAGGAUUUGGGGCUGGAGGUUGGUGGUCCUGGUGAGUACUCAGUGAGGCAAACAGGGCCCACUGUGUUUCCAGAUAUCCCUUUGGAAUUACUCUCAAGCACCUGCAGAGAAAGAAUGGUAGGGGUGGUAGAGCCCUGUCCUUUCAUAGCUUGCUUAUUUUAAAAUCAGUAUUUGACAAUACGAGCUUGAGUUGC
rnacentral:lncRNA from 1 species